rnacentral:rRNA from 1 species
AGUGAACGCUGGCGGUAGGCCUAACACAUGCAAGUCGAACGGCAGCACAGUAAGAGCUUGCUCUUACGGGUGGCGAGUGGCGGACGGGUGAGGAAUACAUCGGAAUCUACUUUUUCGUGGGGGAUAACGUAGGGAAACUUACGCUAAUACCGCAUACGACCUACGGGUGAAAGCAGGGGAUCUUCGGACCUUGCGCGAUUGAAUGAGCCGAUGUCGGAUUAGCUAGUUGGCGGGGUAAAGGCCCACCAAGGCGACGAUCCGUAGCUGGUCUGAGAGGAUGAUCAGCCACACUGGAACUGAGACACGGUCCAGACUCCUACGGGAGGCAGCAGUGGGGAAUAUUGGACAAUGGGCGCAAGCCUGAUCCAGCCGUACCGCGUGGGUGAAGAAGGCCUUCGGGUUGUGGAGCCCUGUUGUUGGGAAAGAAAAGCAGCAGGUUAAUACCCCACUGUUCUGACGGUACCCAAAGAAUAAGCACCGGCUAACUUCGUGC